rnacentral:lncRNA from 10 species
UUCUAAAAGACAUAAAAAGAAAAUAAUACAUGUGUAUCAGUGAGAGAGGUGCAAAUUAGGAAGAGAACUAAGGAUUAUUCUUAAUUCCUGCCUUCCUUUCUAAAUCCCAAUCCUCAAUUGAACUCUUUAAUUAUAUUUCCUGUUUAUUUUAUUGAAUGGAAAAAAUGGAAAAUUAUCUAACAUUUGUCAUGGAAAUAUAGGAGAAAUUACUCUCAGAGAUAUGAUGUUAUUUAAGUCAUUGACAUAUUGUUAACCUCAGAUGCAAAUGGUGGAAUUAAUAAUAUUCCUCAGUUCAUGGUACAUAGUCACUGUUGGUCUAGUGCUAGUUUGUAGUUGUAUUUGUAUUUUUUAUUUUUUAGAAAUACGGUCUUCCUUUGUCACCCAGGCUGGAGUGCAGUGGUGUGAUCACAGCUCACAGUAAGCUCAAACUCCUGGGCUCAAGCAAUCUUCCUGCCUUGGCCUCCCAAGUAGGUAGGACUACAGGUGCAUGCCACCAUGCCAGCUAAUUAAAAUGUUUUAAAUUUAUUUUUGGUAAAUGGGGUCUUGUUAUGUUGCCCAUAGGCUUUAGUGCUAUGAUAAGCUAGUAAUUAUAGUGAACAUUCUUGUCUUGGAUACCCAAGGUUUUUCCGUUAUGUAUACUAGUGGUUACAGAUUUUUUGGAUUAUAACCUUUGCCAAAAUAGGAAAGUUUUGAUUCCUGCUUCCUUAACUGUUUUUCAAAAAUCACAAAUGGAUAUACUUUACCAAAUGUCUUUUAUUAAUAGACUGAGCAAAGGAAAUGACUUUUCUAUGAAUAUGGUAAAUUAUAGCAACAAUAUGUUUUAUUAUAUUGAACCACCCUAGUAUUCCAAGGAUUCCCUAUUUGAUCUUGAUGUAUCAUUAUUAGCAUAAUCAUUAUUAUUAUUGUUAUUAUUAUACAUAUUUUUAGAGACAGGGCCUUGCUCUGUUGCACAGGCCGAAAUGCAGUGGUGCAAUCAUAGCUUACUGCAGCCUCAAACUCCUGGGCUCAAAUGAUCUUCCUGCCUCAGCCUCCCUAGUAGCUGAGACUACAGGUGCUCACCAUCACACCUGGCUAAUUUUUUAAUUUUUUGUAGAGACAGGAUCUCACAGGAUCUCAGUAUGUUGACAAUGCUGGUCUUGAACUCCUGGCCUCAGGCGAUCCUCCCACCUCGGCCUCCCAGUAUUAUUAUUUGUAAUAUUGUUGAAUUCGGUUCAUAAAUAAUUAUUUUUUUCUCCCAUCUGUGUUCAAGGUGAAAUGGGUCUAUUAUUUUUUUUUCCUUGAGUUUUCCACAACUCAAUUUGGAGUCAAGAUUACACUCGGCUGAUAAAAUUAGCUAAUCAGGUUUAGUUUUUUUCUGUUUUCUGGAAAAAGUAUAUAAUAUAGAAGUUUCAUGUUCCUUGAAUGUUUGAUAGAACUCAUCUGUGAAACCAUCUGGGCAUUUUCAAAAAUAUAUUUUUUUAUUAGAUGCCAUUGAUAACUUUAAAAAUUGCUUUAAUACUCAUUGGUAUAGUCAAGUUUUGUAUUUCUUUUUGUGCUAAUUUUGAUAGAUUAAAUGUUUCUAGGAAUUUGCUUAUCUCACCUAGGUUUUCAAAUUUAUUAGCAUAUACUUGUUCAUAACACUCUAUGCUUUAUAUCUGUGUCAUAUCUGUAGCUGUUCCCCCUUUUUCAUUAUGUAUUUGUUUAUUCAUUUUUUCUCCCUUUAUCCAUAAUCGGCCUUGUUGUAACUCUGAAUAUCUUACAAAUAUUUUUAAGUAAGCAGCUUUUGGAAUCAAAAGUAUGUUAAUUUUCACUACCUAGUUUUUUGUUCUCUAUUUCUGUUUCAUUGCUUUCUAUUCUUAUCUUUAUAACUCCUUUUCUUCGUAUUUCUUUAGGUUUGCUCAACUUCUCUUUUUCCAAAUUUUUGAGUAGAAUUUCUAGGUCCUUUAUUUUAACUUUUCUUGUUCUAAUAAAUGUAUUUGAAAUUAUAAUAUUAUUUUAUAUGUAUAUUUUAUGUGUAACAUUUUUAACACCUGGUUCUAAAAGAGUUAAUUUUCUUUAUAACUGCUGUUUAUUUAUUUGACACAGGGUCCCACUCUAUUGCUGAGGCUGGAGUGCAGUGACGCAAUCAUGCCUCACUGCAGCCUCCAUCUUCUGGACUCCAGCGAUGCUCCCAUCCACGACUGCCUUUUAAAUCCAUGUUACUGAUAAAUAUAUUUGUUCACUUACAAUUUUAAGUAUAUUUUAGUUAUCAAGUUCUAAUUUUAUUACAGUAUGGUUGCAGAAUAUAGUUUCUUUCUUUCUUUUUCUUUUUUUUUUUUUUUUUUUUUAAGACAGUGUCUUACUCUGUUGCCCAGGCUGGAGGGCAGUGGCACAAUCUCAGCUCACUGCAACCUCUGCCUCCUGGGUUCAAGCGAUCCUCCCGUCUAGCCUUCUGACUAGUUGGGAUUACAGGUGCACCCCAUCCAGCUAAAUUUUUUGUAGAGACGGGGUUUUGCCAUGUUGCCCAGGCUGGUCUCAAACUCCUGGGCUCUAGGGAUCUGCCCACCUUGACCUCCCAAAAUGUUGGGAUUACAGGCAUGAGCCACUGCUCCUGGCCUAGAAUAUAGAUAGUUUCUAAGAUACCGAUACUCUGGAAUUUAUUGGCGUUACCUUUAUGGAAUGAUGCAUGUCCUAUUUGAGUAAAUGUUCUGUGUGGCUUGAACUAUUAUAUAUAAUUUUUGGUUUUCUGGCAACUUUUAAAAAAUGAAUUUUAUGAAUCUUGUACCUCAUUUUAUUUCCUUCUUUGCUUUCACUAUCCUAUGGCCUGGAGCCAAUUAUUUUUUAUCCAUUUAUAGUUGGCUGAUAAAUAUGUGUCCUGUUAAACCGGCUCUCUGAAGAAAAACAAUGCUUCUGACUUGUAGCAUUGCUGAUUUCUAUAGUAUAAAUACUUCCAUAGUGGUCAAUAUCAAGUUACCAAUAGUUAACAACUGUCUUCAAAAAUCCUGAAUACUUUGCAAUCUGCUCUUGCUAGCCAGUAUAAGACAGCGCACCACUUUUUUUUUUUUUUAAGAUAUUCACGUUGUCCAUUAGUUUCCAUUAGUUUCACUCCUUGGCUUCACUUACUUUUCUUAACCAUAUUUUCUCUCUGACCCAGUGUUGUUUUCUUCUUUUAAAAAUUGUUUUAAAUUAUCUCUGUAAGCUGCUACAAACCUUUUAUUGGAAUGAAGGGCAUUAGAACAGUUAUUUGGCCAAUACAGAAAAAUGAAGUCUUCUAAUUUUUUUUUUUUUUUUUUUUUUUGAGAUGGAAUUUCUCUCUUGUCGUCCAGGUGGAGUGCAAUGGCGCAAUCUUGGCUCACUGCCACCUUUGCCUCCCGGGUUCAAGCGAUUCUCCCUGCCUCAGCCUCCCGAGUAGCUGGGAUUACAGGCACCAUGCCCAGCUAAUUUUUGUAUUUUAAGUAGAGAUGAGGUUUCACCAUGUUGGCCAGACUGGUCACGAACUCCUGACCUCAGGUGAACCACCCGCCUUGGCCUCCCAAAGUUCUGGAAUUACAGGCACGAGCCACCGCGCCUGGCCGAAGUCUUCCAAUUUUAAAAGAUCUAAUCUUCAUUCAGUUCUCAAAGUCUUUGCUGUGCCCUUAAGGCAUGUCACACGCAUGUGCAGCUCAGGGGUAACCUGGUACUCCUGAGGGUUCAGACUCAGAAUUAGGGAAUUUCCGCCUGUACUCUCAGUUUGGAGAUUCCCCUACACAUUCCUGCCCGCAGGGGCCCUUUUUCUUCAUUCCUCUGGCCAGAAAGCCGGUAUUUCUCUUGUUAACUCAGGGCUUGUGCUACCACGCAGUGCAGCUCUGCACCUGAGGCCUGACGUCAGGGCAGAGCUGGGAGGAAAAAAGGGGAAAACAUUGAAAACCCACUCCCCAGGAGGGGCCCCUCUCCCAGUUUUGACCCUCUUCACAAUCCACCUGCUUUUGUUUACUUUUUGGAGUCCUUGAGUACUUGCUUUUUGUAUACUGCCCAGAAUUUCUACUUGUGAUCAGUGGGAAAAAUGGGCUAUUUAAAAUCUCAAAUAAGUUAAAUAUCAUGGCUAGAAACAACUCCAGGCAUUUGUAAUUUUAGAUUUUUUUCUUUACACUCCAGGGGGAUGUGAUUGUUUUAGAGUUUUGAAUUCGUAUGUUUAGCCUGAGAUCCUACUAGUAUUUCUGUUGAAUAUGCCUGUUGACUGCCCACUUGUUAGCAAAAUGGCAUUGAAUGUUGGAACUGUAAACUACCUUAGAAAUCAUUCAGCACCAUCUUUUGACAGAAAAGGAUAUGAGAGUUCACUCCUGUCACUCAGGAAGUGCAAGGCAAAGAUAGAAGCAGAAUUAAAUUUGUUUUAAUACAGUUACUCAGCCAUCUGGUAACAGUUUCCUAAGUGCCAACGAAUGUAUGGGGCUAUUUAUUGCAGAUUUUAAGAUGAUAUAUGGGGAUUGAGGGAAUGAGAAGUUUUAGGGAGUGGUAGAGGAAGGGCAUAUAAUAAGACUGAAUCCCAGAUCCCAGCCUCAGAACUUAUUUUGUGACCUUGGUCAAGUGAUUUAAUCUUUCCAAACCUCUAUGUGUCCUAUAGAAGUAAUAAUAAUACCUAUAUAGGGUUGGGUGUUUUUUUUGUUUGUUUUUUCUUUUUCUUUUCUUUUUUUUUUCUUAAGAUAGGGUCUUUCUCUGUCACCCACGCUAGAGUGCAGUGGCGCAAUCACAGCUCACUGUAGCCUCAAACUCCCAGGCCUAAGCGAUCCUCCCACUCAGCCUCCCAGGCAGCUGGGACUACAGGCAUGCACCACCGCACCCGACUAAUUUUUAAAUUUUUUUCAUUUUUCAUGUAUUGCCCUUUAAUAUGAAUGAAUGCAUUAUGAAAGGAAUUCUUUUACAUGCGAGUUUGCUGAUAGUCUUAGCUAAUUCUCAUGUGUGUAGGUGUCUUGCCUAUCUGUCAGUCUUAGCCUUAAAGGAAAGAGUCCCAUCACCUCACUUGCGGCCUCAUCAUCAUGGACCGCAUGAUGAUGCGGAAUGAGAAUUUUUAUUGUUUGUACUACUUCAAAAUCAUUCAGUACGUGAUCACCUGUCAUGUAUAGGGCUCUUUAUAUUUCUAGUUUAGUCCCUUUUGUUUUCUCUAGGAAAGAUGUUUUAGACCUGGGACAAAAGAAGAAAGAGUGUAUGCUGACAUCUAGGAGGGAAGCACCCACCUCCCCUAAGCUCCAUCUCCCUGAGCACUCAUUUCCCAAUGACCAUACCAGGUUUUGGCCCUAGAGAGUUUAUUACAAAAUAAGAAAGAGAAGUCUGG